UGGGGAAUAUUGGACAAUGGGCGAAAGCCUGAUCCAGCCAUGCCGCGUGUGUGAAGAAGGUCUUCGGAUUGUAAAGCACUUUAAGUUGGGAGGAAGGGCGUUAACCUAAUACGUUAGUGUUUUGACGUUACCGACAGAAUAAGCACCGGCUAACUCUGUGCCAGCAGCCGCGGUAAUACAGAGGGUGCAAGCGUUAAUCGGAAUUACUGGGCGUAAAGCGCGCGUAGGUGGUCUGUUAAGUUGGAUGUGAAAUCCCCGGGCUCAACCUGGGAACUGCAUUCAAAACUGACUGACUAGAGUAUGGUAGAGGGUGGUGGAAUUUCCUGUGUAGCGGUGAAAUGCGUAGAUAUAGGAAGGAACACCAGUGGCGAAGGCGACCACCUGGACUAAUACUGACACUGAGGUGCGAAAGCGUGGGGAGCAAACA
rnacentral:rRNA from 1 species